rnacentral:rRNA from 1 species
UAGGGAAUAUUGGGCAAUGGAGGGAACUCUGACCCAGCCAUGCCGCGUGCAGGAUGAAGGCGUUAUGCGUUGUAAACUGCUUUUUAUAUAGGAAGAAAUAGUCCUUGCGAGGAAAGUUGACGGUACUAUAUGAAUAAGCACCGGCUAACUCCGUGCCAGCAGCCGCGGUAAUACGGAGGGUGCAAGCGUUGUCCGGAUUUAUUGGGUUUAAAGGGUGCGUAGGCGGUUUAUUAAGUCAGUGGUGAAAGACGGUCGCUCAACGAUUGCAGUGCCAUUGAUACUGGUAGACUUGAGUAGUGAUUGAGGUAGCUGGAAUGGAUAGUGUAGCGGUGAAAUGCAUAGAUAUUAUCCAGAACACCAAUUGCGUAGGCAAGUUACUAAGUCAUAACUGACGCUGAGGCACGAAAGUGUGGGUAUCAAACAGGAUUAGAUACCCGAGUAGUCCCUGAGCGGGCUGGCAAGGCGCAU